rnacentral:lncRNA from 1 species
AUCAUAUGGUUGUGUAAAUGAUAUUAUUGAAUUCUUACACACAUGCAACACAGUGUACAAUUCAUAACAUUGGUAAAAUGACCUGAAUAUAAUUGAUUUAUUGUCUUAGAUUAUAGUGAAGUUCAUUUCCAUAUAUGUUGCCUUACAAUGUCUCAAUAUUUUAAUAUUUAUUGCACCUCAAUCCUCAAAAUAGACUUAUAACGUCAUAGUUGAAAUGUCUCUUUUUCAGGUUGGUUGUGUUUGUUCGUUUCAAUAGAAGGGUUAUUCUCUAGCUGGCUGAAUUGCUUAGGUUCAUUUGUGGGUCUGGAGCGUUGCUGAAUAUGGCGGUGAAAAAGGGUAAUAGUUUUAGGGUUGUGGAAUUCCUAAGUUCAUUUUGAUUAUUUAUUAUGGUGUAAAACUUGAUGAGGUGAAAAAACUUGUUCUGAAUAGAUAGGCUAAAUUUGUCUCUGGCUUUAUUAUUAAAUGUUGUUUGUAGGAAAAAAUACAAUCUUCAAAGUCUAAUAUGUUUGAUUUUCAUGUUUCAUCCUGUUAUUCUUGUUCUACCAGAAAAAGCUAGGAUAGUUACCAUUCUCAUAAACAAUGAAAAAUUCUAGAGUAAAAAAGUUUUUACUUGAAAGACAUGACUGCCACAUUCAUGGUUCAAAUUUUUUACAACUUUAUCUUGAAUUUAGAUAGUAAAACUUCAAAUUUUAUUUCCGGCAUGAUUAGGAUAGGCUUGAAAAUCAAACUGUAGUCAUGAUGCAGGAAAAAUUUAUCUGGACAUUGCAUAUUUUAGUAGGAGG